GACGAACGCUGGCGGCGUGCUUAACACAUGCAAGUCGAACGGUGAAGCGCCUUCCUUUUUGGUGGGUGUGGAUGAGUGGCGAACGGGUGAGUAACACGUGAGUAACCUGCCCCCUUCUUCUGGAUAACCGCAUGAAAGUGUGGCUAAUACGGGAUAUUCUGGGUCUGUCGCAUGAUGGGUCUGGGAAAGAUAUUGUUUCGGUGGGGGAUGGGCUCGCGGCCUAUCAGCUUGUUGGUGGGGUGAUGGCCUACCAAGGCGGUGACGGGUAGCCGGCCUGAGAGGAUGGACGGUCACACUGGGACUGAGAUACGGCCCAGACUCCUACGGGAGGCAGCAGUGGGGAAUAUUGCACAAUGGGCGCAAGCCUGAUGCAGCGACGCCGCGUGAGGGAUGGAGGCCUUCGGGUUGUGAACCUCUUUCGCCAGUGAAGCAGGCCUGCCUCGUUUGUGGGUGGGUUGACGGUAGCUGGAUAAGAAGCGCCGGCUAACUACGUG
rnacentral:rRNA from 1 species